rnacentral:rRNA from 1 species
UACGAAGGGGGCUAGCGUUGCUCGGAAUUACUGGGCGUAAAGCGCACGUAGGCGGAUCGUUAAGUCGGGGGUGAAAUCCCGAGGCUCAACCUCGGAACUGCCUUCGAUACUGGCGAUCUUCGAGUCCGGGAGAGGUGAGUGGAACUCCGAGUGUAGAGGUGAAAUUCGUAGAUAUUCGGAAGAACACCAGUGGCGAAGGCGGCUCACUGGUCCGAUACUGACGCUGAGGUGCGAAAGCGUGGGGAGCAAACAGG